rnacentral:pre_miRNA from 1 species
UACCACUUGGCUACCUGUAUAACAUAAAGUAUUUACAAUUUUUUUGAAAUUUGUAAAUACUUUAUGUUAUACAGGUAGCCAGGUGGUA